rnacentral:rRNA from 1 species
AUACGAAGGGCCCGAGCGUUAAUCGGAAUUAUUGGGCUUAAAGGGUGCGUAGGCGGGCCCGCAAGUGUCCUGUGAAAUCCCACGGCUCAACCGUGGAACUGCUGGGCAUACUGCGGGCCUUGAGGUCGGCAGAGGUCGCCGGAACUCUAGGUGUAGCGGUGAAAUGCGUAGAUAUCUAGAGGAACGCCAAAGGCGAAGGCAGGUGGCUGGGCCGAUUCUGACGCUGAGGCACGAAAGCAUGGGUAGCGAACGGGAUUAGAAACCCCAGUAGUCC